rnacentral:rRNA from 1 species
CCGGCGCACGGGUGAGUAACACGUAUCCAACCUGCCGUCUACUCUUGGCCAGCCUUCUGAAAGGAAGAUUAAUCCAGGAUGGGAUCAUGAGUUCACAUGUCCGCAUGAUUAAAGGUAUUUUCCGGUAGACGAUGGGGAUGCGUUCCAUUAGAUAGUAGGCGGGGUAACGGCCCACCUAGCCAACGAUGGAUAGGGGUUCUGAGAGGAAGGUCCCCCACAUUGGAACUGAGACACGGUCCAA